CACCGAAGCCUGCGGUUAUUUGAUCGUAAGGCAAUGUGGUGUUUAGGUUGGCUUCAGGCAUUACUGCUCUACCCCAAGUCCAGCAUUGAGUACGGCUUACCGUCCUGGCCCAUAGAGGGUGAAAGGCCCGUGGGGGUAGAGACCAUGUAUGACAGUUUUGUUCUGAGCUACCCUUG
rnacentral:rRNA from 1 species